rnacentral:rRNA from 1 species
GACGAACGCUGGCGGCGUGCCUAAUACAUGCUAGUAGGACCCAGUUGCGAACGGGUGAGUAACGCGUAGGUAACUGCCUAUUAGAGGGGGAUAACUAUUGGAAACGAUAGCUAAUACCGCAGACUAGUAGAUGGACCUGCGUUGUAUUAGCUAGUAGGUGGGCUAAUGGCCUACCUAGACAAAGAUACAUAGCCGAUCUGAGAGGGUGAGCGGCCAAACUGGUAAUGGAACCAGGCCCAGACUCAUAAGGUGGACAACAGUAGGGAAUUGUCGACAAUUGGGGGAACCCUGGCCGAGCAACGCCGGGGGAGUGAAGAAGGUUUUCGGAUGGUAAAGCUCUGUUGGUAAGGAAGCGGUACUUAACAGGGAAGGGAGGGCUAACUACGUGGCAGCAGCCGCGGUAAUAC